CAGGAGUGGCACAGUGGAAGACUGCUUUGCAGUUCCCUUCUAUUGACGGUAAUCUUGCAGCUUUCAUGCAGACUGACUGCAGUCUCAUGUGAAGUCAUUAUGUUGACAUCACAGUCAUCUUUGUGUCAGAUUUUUAUGGUUAGGACUCAAAUUUCUCAUGCCAGGUGUCAACUUCAGGGUAUGAAAACUUCUAGGAACUUUUAUUGGGAAAUGAGAGGCAAAUGCAAUCCGACUGCAAACGUACAAUGAGGAGAAUCCCAACAUCCAAACGGUCCCAGAGCAGUAUUUGAGGACUUAGCCCUCGUGACGGAAAGACCACCAUAACAUUCAAGCCAGAAGGCACCCUUUGGUAGGCUUGUGGCACCACUCAGAAAAUAGCAGCUCUUAGUUUUCACUUGUGUUUUGACUACAGAAAAAUAAUAAAGCAAUUCUUAUGUUUCAAUAACCUCAGAAAGACCACAACAGGUUAGAAUAU